ensembl:snRNA U7 U7 small nuclear RNA
UUAAGUUAUAGCUCUUUUAGAAUUUGUCCAGGAGAUUUUCUGGUUCUCAUGGGAAGGCCGCU